rnacentral:rRNA from 1 species
GCCUCUUGAUUUAAUCAUAAGAGGUCCAGCCUGCCCAGUGACAUUGUUCAACGGCCGCGGUAUCCUAACCGUGCGAAGGUAGCGUAAUCACUUGUCCUUUAAAUGAGGACUAGUAUGAAUGGCCCCACGAAAGCUAUACUGUCUCCUUUUUCUAAUCAGUUAAACUAAUCUCCCCGUGAAGAAGCGAGGAUAAACAUAUAAGACGAGAAGACCCUAUGGAGCUUUAAAUAACUGAAACAUUUGCAUCCCACUUUAAAUUUCCGAAAUCUACACUUAAUUCCACAUCUUGUUUCUAGUUUUAGGUUGGGGUGACCACGGAGAAAAACCAAACCUCCAUGCCGAAAGAAACAUCUCUAAACAAAAAACUACAAUUUUAUGUAUUAACACAUUAACCUUAAUUGACCCA